GGCAAGAUGGCCGAGCGGUCUAAGGCGUCAGUAACCCUAACCCUAUUACAUCUCUUACAUGCCUCCUUUACUAACAUCUCCCCAGGCUAGCUUAAGGUUUCAUUCACGGCUCUGUGAUAGUUAUUCGCUAGUCCGAAAGGGCGUGGGUUCGAAUCCCACUCUUGUCA
rnacentral:tRNA from 2 species